rnacentral:rRNA from 1 species
ACGGAGGGUGCAAGCGUUGUCCGGAUUUAUUGGGUUUAAAGGGUGCGUAGGCGGCUCAUUAAGUCUGGGGUGAAAGCCCGUUGCUCAACAACGGAACUGCCCUGGAAACUGGUGAGCUUGAGUACAGACGAGGGUGGCGGAAUGGAUGCUGUAGCGGUGAAAUGCAUAGAUAGCAUCCAGAACCCCGAUUGCGAAGGCAGCUGCCUAGACUGUAACUGACGCUGAGGCACGAAAGCGUGGGGAGCGAACAGG